rnacentral:rRNA from 1 species
AUUGAACGCUGGCGGCAGGCCUAACACAUGCAAGUCGAGCGCGCGGCGGACGGGUGAGUAAUGUCUGGGAAACUGCCUGAUGGAGGGGGAUAACUACUGGAAACGGUAGCUAAUACCGCAUACCAUCAGAUGUGCCCACAUGGGAUUAGCUAGUAGGUCGGGUAAUGGUUCACCUAGGCGACGAUCCCUAGCUGGUCUGAGAGGAGGAACAGCCACACUGGAACUGAGACACGGUCCCGAUUCCUACGGGAAGCAGCAGUGGGGAAUAGUGCACAAUCGGCGCGAUCCUGAUGCAGCCAUGCCGCGUGUGUGAAGAAGGCCUUCGAGUUGUAAAGCACUUUCAGCCAGGAGGCGUUACUCGCAGAAGAAGCACCGGCUGACUCCGUGCCAGCAGCCGCGGUAAUUC